UAGGUAUAGCAGAAACUUUCAUUCAUAACAAAGCGGUACACAGUAGUCGCGAGUAGUCACGCUAGAGAUCGCUUCGUGAACAAACGCUGCGAUUGAUUCGCCAUGGCUUAUUUUAAACAAACUUAGAACCAUAAAGUAAAUUAAAAUGUGGGUAGACGUGAGUGCGCGCGAAAAACAAAACUACAUUACACAAACGAAUGGAUCUUUUAUUCCGGGGUACACGGGCCACUGUCCUAUGUUAAAGUUCCGCUUCGGAAAAUGCUACGGAGACAACACAAGACAGAUACUGAAAGAAAUACGGUCUAAGGGACUGUUUAACAAACCACUAGAAUACCGGCCCCGUGAUAACUACGAGCUUGACAAUCUUCCUCGCUUCGAGACUCCUCAGCGGGAUGUGUACGACGGCAUCAGAAACAAACCCACAGCACACAUGACUGGAUACACGGGAUACGUUCCAGGAAUGAAUUUUAGUUACGGAAAAUCGUAUGGACGAACGGCAGACGACUGCAUGGCGAACUUCACAGAUAGACAACGCGAAUUGAGACGUAAAGCUGACCUGAAUAGAAGUUAUAUUCGAUCAAGAAGCGCCCCGAAGAUGGAAACAGUACACUCCAGAGACGAAAUCCGACGAGACUUGAACAGAUUUAGAGAAAUCAACAAAUAUAAAGAAAACACAAUAUCACCAGAAUUUCCACCGAUAGCAGGCUACACAGGGCACAUACCACGAAUCAAAGGAUCUGAAGCUUCCCUCAGUCAACGGUACCAUUGCGCAGCAAAACGCGGCCUUGAACUCAUCAAAAUGGAGAGAGAAAAUCGCAAAGAGCUACAAAACGCCGAUUCUAAUAUAAAAGCCAUAUUGAAAGAGAAUGGGAAGAAGUAUUCGUACUGGAAUUGGGGAUAGCAUACAGGCAGAAGGAUGUUCUUCACCAAGAGACGGUGAACAUUCUUCUAUAAAACGGAACGAUCAGUAUUUUUGAAGAACUAUAAGGAAUGGAGUCACAUUAGAUUUCUACGUCAAUCGUUCAUACCAUAUAGUCAUUGUCCAUAGGCCUAAUUAUAAUGAAUGCGUGAUUUGAGAAGAAUAUAUUUUACUAGAUGUAAAUGUUGGUUUAGCUGUCCUGUGUUGAGUGAGAAUUCCCGAGAAAAUGUGAUAUGUUUUAGAAUCAACAUUUUUAAGUCAUGGUCGACGGAAUAAUCCUUUUUCAACUGCAUUCCAUUUGGAGCACAAAUAGAGAAAUGCAUUCAAAGAGUAUUUGAGCAUACUCCGAAUUUGAUAAUGCAUAAAGUACAAACACUAAAAAUAGUUUUGUUAAGUCUUAUGUAUAUUUUUAAAAUAAACUACAUAGUAAUUGAGAACUAAUUUGUUUUAUUAAUAUCAAUAUAAUUUAAAUAAAAAUAUACAUAUAAUGUUCAUAAUAUCUCUGGAGUUUUAUAUGAAAAUAUAUUUUCUAUAAUAAGGUCAGAUAAAAAUAGUUACUUUUGUUUUUUGGUUUUAGUACAACUGGCCGAAAAUAUUCAACCUUAUAUAAUAAUGCCCGUUUUCACCAACAACCUCUUACCGUUUCCCUAUCUAAAUGCUACUUUUAGUAAGGAUCCCUCCCAAUUUGACACCUACCUAAAUUCAUUUUCACCACACUUGUACAUGGAUAACUUAAGUAAGUGACAGAUUACUAGUUCUACAAACGAUAAUGCAAAGUCGAUAUUUUAUCGAUAAAAUGAUUUUUCUGUACUUCUUAAGAAAUAAACGUCUAUCGAGUAUAUAUUACUAAAGCCUGAGAGAUUUUUUUCUUGUGAUGUUAUUUUAAUUUAACUUAAACUACAUUACGCUAUGUUUUAUGCAAUAAAACAGUAAAGAGGUUUUCUUUAGGUGAAUUUUUACCUAUGUCAUUCGCGCGUUUGUCAAAUUGACUGAUGUGUAUGUGUACAUAGAGUGAGGUUAAUUUUGGGUUUAUUAUUGUUGAAUAGAUAAGUUUAUUUUGGCAGAGAAGAGAAAACGAGGAUAAACCUUUCUUGCAGAAGAAAAAGACAAGCUAGUGAAAUUGCUGACGUCUCAUAGAGACACAAUAUUAAACAAAAAACGGAUGGGACCACGAACGAAGCCAAAAACAAAGCUUGGAUCCAGUCACAAAUAGUUUUAAUGCGACAGGAACCCUUUACAGGUGGUGCGAGAAAUUGGAAAGACGUGUAAAAACAUGCUGCGCCCAGCCCACCUCAAAUUGAAUUGGUGCAGGAGGAUGAUGAUAAUGUUUGGUACAUCAUAUGAGGACUAAUAUUAAAAUAUUUAUUUAC
rnacentral:misc_RNA from 1 species